GGUAGUCCACGCCGUAAACGAUGAAUACUCGCUGUUGGCGAUACACAGUCAGCGGCUAAGCGAAAGCGUUAAGUAUUCCACCUGGGGAGUACGCCCGCAAGGGUGAAACUCAAAGGAAUUGACGGGGGCCCGCACAAGCGGAGGAGCAUGUGGUUUAAUUCGAUGAUACGCGAGGAACCUUACCCGGGCUUGAAAGUUAGUGAACUAUCCAGAGAUGGAUGGGUCCUUCGGGACACGAAACUAGGUGCUGCAUGGCUGUCGUCAGCUCGUGCCGUGAGGUGUUGGGUUAAGUCCCGCAACAAGCGCAACCCCUAUGUUUAGUUGCCAGCACGUUAAGGUGGGGACUCUAAACAGACUGCCUGUGCAAACAGAGAGGAAGGAGGGGACGACGUCAAGUCAUCAUGGCCCUUACGUCCGGGGCUACACACGUGCUACAAUGGACGGUACUGAGGGCAGCUAGGCAGCAAUGUCGUGCGAAUCUCAAAAAGCCGUUCACAGUUCGGAUUGGGGUCUGCAACUCGACCCCAUGAAGUUGGAUUCGCUAGUAAUCGCGUAUCAGCAAUGACGCGGUGAAUACGUUCCCGGGCCUUGUACACACCGCCCGUCAAGCCAUGGAAGUUGGGGGUACCUAAAGUACGUAACCGCAAGGAGCGUCCUAGGGUAAAACCGAUAACUGGGGCUAAGUCGUAACAAGGUAACC
rnacentral:rRNA from 1 species